AACGAACGCUGGCGGCAUGCCCAACACAUGCAAGUCGAACGAGACCUUCGGGUCUAGUGGCGCACGGGUGCGUAACGCGUGGGAACCUGCCUUUAGGUUCGGAAUAACUCAGAGAAAUUUGAGCUAAUACCGGAUAAUGUCUUCGGACCAAAGAUUUAUCGCCUUUAGAUGGGCCCGCGUAAGAUUAGCUAGUUGGUGGGUAAAGGCCUACCAAGGCGACGAUCUUUAGCUGGUCUGAGAGGAUGAUCAGCCACACUGGGACUGAGACACGGCCCAGACUCCUACGGGAGGCAGCAGUGGGGAAUAUUGGACAAUGGGCGAAAGCCUGAUCCAGCAAUGCCGCGUGAGUGAUGAAGGCCUUAGGGUUGUAAAGCUCUUUUACCCGGGAUGAUAAUGACAGUACCGGGAGAAUAAGCUCCGGCUAACUCCGUGCCAGCAGCCGCGGUAAU
rnacentral:rRNA from 1 species